UGUGAACGCUGGCGGUAGGCCUAACACAUGCAAGUCGAACGGCAGCACAGGAGAGCUUGCUCUCUGGGUGGCGAGUGGCGGACGGGUGAGGAAUACAUCGGAAUCUGCCCAGUCGUGGGGGAUAACGGAGGGAAACUUACGCUAAUACCGCAUACGACCUUCGGGUGAAAGAGGGGGAUCGCAAGACCUCUCGCGAUUGGAUGAGCCGAUGUCGGAUUAGCUAGUUGGCGGGGUAAUGGCCCACCAAGGCGACGAUCCGUAGCUGGUCUGAGAGGAUGAGCAGCCACACUGGAACUGAGACACGGUCCAGACUCCUACGGGAGGCAGCAGUGGGGAAUAUUGGACAAUGGGCGCAAGCCUGAUCCAGCCAUACCGCGUGGGUGAAGAAGGCCUUCGGGUUGUAAAGCCCUUUUGUUGGGAAAGAAAUCUUUCAGGCUAAUACCCUGGGAGGAUGACGGUACCCAAAGAAUAAGCACCGGCUAACUUCGUG
rnacentral:rRNA from 1 species